AUUUACAAGAAUUGAUAUAUUUACAUUAUCAUAGGCAGAAUUGAUAUCUAUAAAACAAGCUACUACAUAUUCCCGUUUCGAGAAGGCUAAAAGGAUAUCCGAAACUAACAAACUAACACAGUCUAAAGUGCUUCGGCUUUUGCGAAAACCAUAUUGAAUAUCCGGUAAUAGUUUCUUACUUUCAAUAAACCACUCCAACCUAUUUUUAACUAAAUGUUCCAAAAUCUUAAUUAAAACAGAUGAUAACGCAAUUGGACGAUAAGAAUUUGGAUCAUUACGGGGUUUAUUCGGUUUGAGAAAGGGUAACACCAACUGUAUUUUCCAGUUUGGUGGAAUGUCACCUGUCAUAAAAAUCCCGUUAAUAAUAUUGAGAAAGUAACCUAUAACCUUGUCACUAGAAUGUUUCAAAAAUGAAUAUGGAAUACCGUCGCAACCUGGUGCGGAAUCAAUGACAUACGAUAAGACAUUCUUUAGCUCCAAUAACGAGAAUGGAUCAUUAAAACGCUGCAUGUUAUCAUUAUCAAUAUUGGUUGGGGAAGCCAGUUCAAUACACACGGGGGAUGGGACGAAUGGAGGAGCUAAUUUAUCUAAAAACUUCUCAGCUACUUUAGGAUCAAGAUUAAGGGUGUUAUUUUCUACAAAAGCUCCUCUAAACAUUCUAACCUUUCUCCAAACUUCUGACGGCUUCUGAACAUUCAGAAUCCCACCAUGGAGGGCUGGGAAUAUUGAAUUUAGAGGACUUCUUACGCGGAAAUACUUCAUCAGCUAUAUUAAUUAUAAACUUAGCAAAAGCAUCAGAAGUUUUAAACAAAUGUUCCCGAGAUACAUCAGGUAAUUCACUCAACCUCUCAUCCAUAUGUUUGCGAAACUUAUCCCAAUCUGCAUUUUGAAGUUUAUAUGCUAACAGUGGAGAUCUUUUAAGUACUGGUUUAUUUUUAAUAGGAAAAGAAAUAAGAAUUGGAAAAUGAUCACUGCCAUAGGAAAGUGGAAGUACCUCCCACAAUAAGGAAUGUGAAAUGGAAGAACUACAAAUUGAUAAAUCUAAUGCACUAGGAUUUUCAUUGGGAGCAGACCGACGCGUGGGAACACCAGAAUUUAAUAUACAUAAAUUAUAAUAAUCAACUAUGUCUAUUAUUUCCUCUCCUAAACUACUUGAAUUUAAACACCCCCAAGCAGGGUGAUGGCAAUUAAAAUCUCCUAAUAUUAAACAUGGAGUAGGAAGAGAUGAUAUGAUUUUUCUUACUUCACUAAGUAUGGAAAGUGAGGGAUGAGGUAUAUACACUGAAACUAUACAAAUGUUAUCUACAAGUGCUGAGAUGAUGGAAAAUUCAUUAUUAUGAGGUGCUAAUGGAACAUGAGAGAAAUGAUAUGAUUUUUUUACAAGGAUGGCUACACCACCAUGCCCGUCCGACCUAUCUUCGCGGAGGCAUGCAUAGCCUGGAACUUUGAAACAUGACUCAGACCUGAGCCAUGUUUCAGAUAAGGACAACGAGCCUUAUUGGUAGCAAAGUGAAGACCAGAGCACAGGCAACAAGAUGCACUAUCUUCUUCAACAGUGCAAGAGGAGCCCGUGUGACCCUGUCCACACUUGUAGCAGCGGGGUUUUGACCUGCAUUGCACCUGUGUAUGACCAAACCGGCAGCAAUUAAAGCACUGGAUUGUUGGAUAAACAUAUAGGUCGACCGGCAAAGCGUUAUAACACAUAAAAAUGCGUUUUGGUAGAACCUGUCCAUCAAAAGUUACAACGACAGUUUGUGAUGGCUUCCACACUGGAACGCCAUCCACAACAACUUUAUAAUUGAUUCUUCUCAAUUUUAGAACUUCUCCACAACCUACUGGUACACUUAUACUCUCUUUAACCUCAUCUAAGGACAUUUCAGAUGGAACACCUUUAACUACACCCAUUCUGAUAACAUUAAAUGAUGGGAUGAAUGCUGUAUAUCUAUUCUCCUUCAGUCGGCUGUCUAGAAGAAAAUGGUUGGCAUCCUCAUACUUUGAAAAUGACAGUGAAACUCUAUUGCGACCAAUACGUUUAACGCUGCCAUUAACAAUGUUCUUAAAGUUGUUACGUUUUAAAAAGUUGCCAAAAGCAACUGAAUGAAUUGAAGUGCCAUCAUUUUGAGAUUCUUGUUGCUUCUGUACAUGUACAAUAUAAGGUGAACAAUCUGAAUGAAUAUAUUGUUUCCUAACUGUGACUGUGGGCUGAGAGGAGAUAAUAUCAGCAGGAUUCACGGCUG